CUUGCUCUCGGGUGACGAGCGGCGGACGGGUGAGUAAUGUCUGGGAAACUGCCUGAUGGAGGGGGAUAACUACUGGAAACGGUAGCUAAUACCGCAUAACGUCGCAAGACCAAAGUGGGGGACCUUCGGGCCUCAUGCCAUCAGAUGUGCCCAGAUGGGAUUAGCUAGUAGGUGGGGUAACGGCUCACCUAGGCGACGAUCCCUAGCUGGUCUGAGAGGAUGACCAGCCACACUGGAACUGAGACACGGUCCAGACUCCUACGGGAGGCAGCAGUGGGGAAUAUUGCACAAUGGGCGCAAGCCUGAUGCAGCCAUGCCGCGUGUGUGAAGAAGGCCUUCGGGUUGUAAAGCACUUUCAGCGGGGAGGAAGGCGGUGAGGUUAAUAACCUUGUCGAUUGACGUUACCCGCAGAAGAAGCACCGGCUAACUCCGUGCCAGCAGCCGCGGUAAUACGGAGGGUGCAAGCGUUAAUCGGAAUUACUGGGCGUAAAGCGCACGCAGGCGGUCUGUCAAGUCGGAUGUGAAAUCCCCGGGCUCAACCUGGGAACUGCAUUCGAAACUGGCAGGCUAGAGUCUUGUAGAGGGGGGUAGAAUUCCAG
rnacentral:rRNA from 1 species